UACGGAGGAUCCGAGCGUUAUCCGGAUUUAUUGGGUUUAAAGGGUGCGCAGGCGGGAGAUUAAGUCGGCGGUGAAAUUUUGCAGCUCAGCUGUAAAAGUGCCUUCGAAACCGGUUUCCUUGAGUGUAGAUGAAGUAGGCGGAAUUUGUGGUGUAGCGGUGAAAUGCUUAGAUAUCACGAGGAACUCCGAUUGCGCAGGCAGCUUACUAAACUACUACUGACGCUCAGGCACGAAGGCGUGGGGAUCAAACAGGAUUAGAUACCCUGGUAGU
rnacentral:rRNA from 1 species